UACGAAGGGGGCUAGCGUUGCUCGGAUUGACUGGGCGUAAAGGGCGCGUAGGCGGCGGACACAGUCAGACGUGAAAUUCCUGGGCUCAACCUGGGGGCUGCGUUUGAUACAUGUUCGCUUGAGUUCGGAAGAGGGUCGUGGAAUUCCCAGUGUAGAGGUGAAAUUCGUAGAUAUUGGGAAGAACACCGGUGGCGAAGGCGGCGACCUGGUCCGAUACUGACGCUGAGGCGCGAAAGCGUGGGGAGCAAACAGG
rnacentral:rRNA from 1 species